GCCUUUGUAGCUCAGCGGACAGAGCGUACCCCUCCUAAGGGUAAGGUCUCGGGUUCAAAUCCCGACUAAGGUC